rnacentral:lncRNA from 1 species
AUGCUGGUCGUGCCAGGCCUGCCAGGCCUAUGGACACUGGAGCAUACAGCGUUAAGCUACCUUGUGGGAAGGACCUUUGUGGCCUUACUGAGUUGCCAUGAGCAUAUUUUAAGUCAAAGUGUUGUGGGUGCCGAGCAGUGUGGCAGUGGCCUGCAACACCACUCUCUGGUACUGGGCAGCUAUGGAGUGCUGAAGAGGGAAGGAUGAGAUGAUGGGAGGAGCCACCCAAGCAGGGAAUGAAUUGGAGGAUUGGUGAUAGACUCCUACAGCUGCAAUAGGAGAGCAGAGGUAAGGCUGGCUGCAGAGUGGAAGCCUGGAUAGAUUUGGGUGUCUGAAUUAGAUUGGGGGUGUGUGUUUGUGUGUGACAAGCAUGUGAUGAAGCUGUCCCAGGGCUGGAAAGGAACAGAAUCACUUGGAGAUUAAGAUCUUGGCUACAGUUUCUUCCUGUGUUUCCUUGAAUUAACUGAUGGUGUCACCUGUCACCUUACCAUGGGAGAGGGUGAAAACACUGUGCUAGGAGGUGAAGAGCCAUGGUUUCCCCCUUAAAAACAAAUGUGAGGCUCAGACUAGUUUUCUAGCCUUUAGUGUCUCUAAUACCCAAAGUACAAAAGCUCAGUAUUUGUUGCCAUUCAACUCUGGGCAUUGAUGUUAUUAACCAUAGUAGAUGCAAUGAAUAUGGUCUCCUGAGUUGUUAAAAUCUCAUUAUUCUGUGAGGCUGCAGGAAAGACUUUGUGCUCUUUUGCAGAGUAGGGGGAAUAAUGUGGUAAAACUCUGAGAGAGGGAUCCUCUUCUUUCUCCUUUCUCUAGGGUAAAACAGUGUUAUUUGUUCAGAAUUCCUGACUGGGUUUUUGUAAAAGUAGUGCAAUGUGGAUAAUUAGAUCAGUUGUCAUGGUGUUCCACCUUUGCAUCUGACAGAAUGAAACCCAAGGCUAAACCCAAGGCAAACUAAAGGCACUGCACAAAACUGCUGUGCCAAUGCCAUGGAGGUAAAACAAAGCUGUGUGUGAUUAAAAGAUACCAUGUGAUGCUAUGGCCAACAGCCUGUUAUAUGGCUGUUUGUGCGUUAUGCACAUGAAGGAAAAGUGAGUUGUAAUUUAAAAAAAUAAAACUUUGUGCAUGUCAUGCA